GAUGAACGCUGGCGGCGUGCCUAAUACAUGCAAGUCGAGCGGACAAAGGAGGAGCUUGCUCCUCUUCCGCUGCGGGCGGGUGGGUGAUGAACACGAGUAUAACCUGCCUAUAGGGAUGGGAUAACUUAGGGAACCCGGAUCUAAUACCGGAUAAUAUAUUGAACCGCAUGGUUCAUUGGUCCAAGCGCUUUUUGCUGUCACUAAUACAGGUUUCCUGGCCGGAUUAGCUAGUUGGUAAGGUAACGGCUUACCAAGGCAACGAUGCGUAGCCGAUCUGAGAGGAUGAUCAGCCACACUGGAACUGAGACACGGUCCAGACUCCUACGGGAGGCAGCAGUAGGGAAUCUUCCACAAUGGGCGAAAGCCUGAUGGAGCAACGCCGCGUGAGUGAAGAAGGUCUUCGGAUCGUAAAGCUCUGUUAGUAGGGAAGAACGAAUGUGAGAGAAUCUAUGCACGUCUUGACGUUACCUAAAGAGAAAGCCCCGGCUAACUACGUG
rnacentral:rRNA from 1 species